AUGAAUUGCAUAAGCUGGAACUGCCGGGGGCUUGGGAACCCAGCGGCAGUUCGCGAGCUUCGCAGUAUUGUGAAGCAAGAAGGUCCUGCCCUUGUGUUUAUCAUGGAAACAAAGAUAAGGGCGAAGAAAGUAGAGAAUCUGCGAAAUACUUUGGGAUUUGUAGGAUGUUUUGCGGUCGACAGUAAUGGUCUCAGUGGCGGUGUGGGACUGUUUUGGUCGAGUGAAGUUUCAGUUGAACUG
rnacentral:rRNA from 1 species